UUUAUGGAGAGUUUGAUCCUGGCUCAGGAUGAACGCUGGCGGCGUGCCUAAUACAUGCAAGUCGAGCGAACAGAUAAGGAGCUUGCUCCUUUGACGUUAGCGGCGGACGGGUGAGUAACACGUGGGCAACCUACCUAUAAGACUGGAAUAACUCCGGGAAACCGGGGCUAAUGCCGGAUAACAUGUUGAACCGCAUGGUUCUACAGUGAAAGACGGUCUUGCUGUCACUUAUAGAUGGACCCGCGCCGUAUUAGCU
rnacentral:rRNA from 1 species